ACAGUCAGCAGCUUUUAAAAUUUCAUGUUUAUUCAUAUUUUUCAAAAUAUAUGUACAUAAAAAAAGGAAGAUUUACAACAGGAAAGAUUGCCUUACAUGCAACACAAAUUCCAACAAAUGCAUGACGGGAUCACACAUGAUUAUGAUCUAAUCCAAGCCAAUCUUCUCAAGUCCAUUUCUCAGCCACACUCAAGCUGCAGAUGGGAUCCCAGCAGACAAUGCAAGUGGAAUGAGUAGGAAACAAACACCUUUUGAUUCUGGCAGCCCUCAGGGCCCAGAAGUACGCCAAAGAGUUAAGACAAUUAAUAUGUCAAGUGCCACAGGGAAGAGAAACAACAACCAGAAAACUGGUAUUUCUUGAGUAGAAAGCUAGUACUAUUUUAACACAACUUCACAAUACUAAAACAAACACAAAUAAAAAAGGGUUAGGUAGUAGGGCUUCAUUUGCUUUUCUUUUUCUUUAAAAUAUCUGAAAAAGGAAGCCAAUUAAUUGAUAUCAAAAGUGUUUUCGAAAGAAAGGGGAAAAAAAUCCACAGAUGAAUCUGGAAUCUAUUUUAUUUAAGCAAACCGUAUGUUUUUCCACUUAACAUUUCUACAUUUGUAACUCUCCAAUACUUCCUCAUAAAAAAGGCAAACAGUGACAACUCAUGCUUCAAAUACUAAAAAAUAUAUUUAAACAUCUGAUCAAGAAGGUUUUGUUUUUUUGAUUUUUGGUAACAGAGGUGACACUGGAAACUGGAUUCACAAUAUUCUUGUAUUUCCCCUGCAGUCAGAACCAAGUAGUAGAGAGUUCUUGUGCUUGCUGUGAAGGGAAUGCAAUGCUCUGGGUCAGAGAACAAUUCCUGUAACUUUGUCAAUGUGAAGAGGCCCAAAACAGUCGUGCAUCCUCAGAAACAAAGGUGAUCACAAUAUUUUCAGGUUAUUUCCAAAGCUAAGUUGUCUCUGUUCAUAGUUGGAGAGAGAGGGUUAGUGAAGUAACUUUUAUAAGAUGGGGAACAGCAAGAGCCAGAGGAGGAGAGAGGCACCAAAGCUUAUUACCAUUAAAAAAAAAAAAAAAAAAAGAGGUUGGGUAGGAGGGACAAAAAGAUUAUAUAGUUCAGGGGAGUCCAGUGUGCCAAAUGCUGGUGAAGGCAACAAGAACUACGAGUUUAUCACUGAAAUGUGCAAUAUGUACGUCAUUCUGAUGUGGGAAGGAAAACGUAGUUCAGGCAAAGCAGGGGGAUAA
rnacentral:lncRNA from 1 species